AUGACCCAAGUUCCUUCUGCUAGUCCUAGGAGCAGAAGACUUCUUGUAUCUUGUGCUCCUGGUCACUGUCUGAAAGCUGAGAAUGAGAUGUUGAGGCUGCAGCCCGUUUGUAAAACCGAAGAGCUCAGGGCUGAACAGAUUUGGAGACUCGAACUAGAGUUGCGUUUGAAGACAAGCUCUCAGAUGCUGAAAAUUGCCCUCAUGUCCAAAUGGAUCUGCAAACUAUAUCAGGAGUGCAACCUUCAUUUGGUACCAGAUCUACUCGUCCCAAACCAGAACAUGGACUUCAAAGCAGAGAUUAGUGUUCUCAACCAGAUCCAUUCUCAGAACAUAUUUCCCUGUGAUUCUGCUGUUGACAGUUACAGGCUGUCCAGCCACAAAAGUUCAGAUGGGCAAUUGGAUAUCCAUCCAUCGGAGAAAAGAAGGAAGAUAUUCCACGAGACAUGUGCUGGUAAUUUGGAUUUGGAGUGGCCUGGAACUGAACUGGUGUGCUUGUUAUGCUGCCACUGGACCAGUCGUCGGCGAGUUCAUGUCUGUUGUGGAGGCAUUAAUGCUGAUGCUGAUCCAUUGAGCACACUCCACCUGAAAAUGAUGAUCUCUGGUCAUGGAGGACUGCGCUGUUAUGCUACUGCCUACUGCUGGUCUGGGAUUCGAGAGGUGGUCAUACUAGCCACGGUUGGGGGUUUGCUCUGGUCUUACCCACUGCUGGAGUUAAAUGGGAAAAACCUGGAUUUGUAUGGGGGCUAA
rnacentral:rRNA from 1 species